UGGCGGACGGGUGAGUAACGCGUGGGUAACCUGCCUCAUACAGGGGGAUAACAGUUGGAAACGGCUGCUAAUACCGCAUAAGCGCACAGUACCGCAUGGUACGGUGUGAAAAACUCCGGUGGUAUGAGAUGGACCCGCGUCUGAUUAGGUAGUUGGUGGGGUAACGGCCUACCAAGCCGACGAUCAGUAGCCGACCUGAGAGGGUGACCGGCCACAUUGGGACUGAGACACGGCCCAG
rnacentral:rRNA from 1 species